ACCAACAACAUACCCAAUGUAGUUUCACAAGGUGGGGUCUGGGGAGGGUAGAGUGAGGGUAGAGUGUACGGAGACCUACCUUUACCUCAGACGUAGAGUGGUGGUUUUUGAUUGACCCUCAGUUCAAGAUAAAAAUAGUCUAGAAAAAGAAGUAAUAGAAAUUAGGAAACAACAAACGGUAAUAAAACAACAAAUAUUAGUAAAACAAUACUACAACAAAAUAAUACUACAAUUGAACUACACAAAACAAAAAAUAAUAAUAGAAACCAAAAAACAAGAAACAAGUGUAAUACUAUGAUUACUAGAAUGGACAGAAAAUGAAGACACUCCUACCCUAAUCCGUGUCUUCCACAUCUUCCUAUCUAAGGUCACAUGUUCUAACCACCUUUAAUCUCUACCUCUACCCUCCUUAAAUCCAUCCAUAGCUAACCUCUCACACCUUUGCAUUGAGUAACCGUGCAUCUCCUCCUCGCAUGCCAAAACCGUCCCAAUCUUGCUUCCUGCAUCUUGUUUUCCACCAAAGUCACUCCUACCUUGUAUCAGAUAUUGUUAUCUUUAAUCCUGCCUUUUCUAGUAUGCCCACGCAUACCAUCAACAUCCUCAUCAUCACCACUUUCAUUUUCUAAACGUGAGAGUUCUAUAUUGACCAAUAGUCCGCUUCAUACAACAAAGUAGGUCUAACCACCACUUUGCAGAACUUGCAUUCAAGUUUUGGUGACACCUUCUUAUCACACAAAAUUCCAAAUGCGAGCCUUUAUUUCAUCCAACCUUGUUCUAAUGCACUGAUUGACAUCCUCGUCAAUCUCUCCAUUUCCUUGGAUAAUAGACCCUAGUUGCUUGAAAUUUUCUCUAUUUUGAAUGACCCAUGUCAAGCCUCACUUCCACAUCAACCUCACGCACGUCACUAAACUUGCACUCCAAGUAUUUUGUCUUAGUCAUUCUCAACCUAAAAUCCUUGGGGGAUAUUUGGUAGUAGUAGCGCUUGCAUUAGUAAUGCUUGUAAUGACAUUAUUUCUUAUACACGGUUUGGUUUGAUGUAUUAGAAAUAGCAAGCGUUGCAUAACUUCUAUAAAAAGAUGUUUGUUUACAAAAAUAUCCUCCACUUUUUAGCUUUGGGAAAUGUGAAUUGUUUUGAGAGGAAUUUGAGGGGUAAUUAUGUCAUUAAUCAAUCUAAUGCAUGUGUUGAAACCCUUUGUAUUACUAAUACAUGAAAGUCAAUGGUAUUAGUGAUACUUACCUCAAUACACAACAGAGAAUGUAACUAGUGCAAGUUUUACUUAGGCUAAAAAAGUGUACCAAACAAGUUACUAAUAAUUCACAAAGCUAAUGCAUCAAUUAUUUUUUCUUGUAUACUCUAUCAAAUGACCCCUUAGACUCUACGAUCAUUCUCCAAUUCUCUAGUUUAGCGUUAACUCCGUCGUGAGUUUCGUCAAUCAAUUUAUUAGAUAUUUGAUUGGUAGUAUCAUAUAGGUUAAGUAUUAUGUAAUAUUAAUUACAAAUCUCAUUGUUGAUUAAAGCAUUUUUAAAAUAAUUCCAUCCAUGAAUAUGAAAUAAAAUAUUCUUUUUUUUGUCAGUUUUAGCAUUCAAUCUACGUCUCCACUGUUGGUGCAUAUUCUCGAGGGGCACUUUGGACUUGACAGAUGGCACAAUCAUGAUUGUUGUUUAUGUAGCUCAUAUUCACAAUAUUAAUUAUAACAAAAAGAGAAUACUAAUAACUUAUUCUUUUUUGAUGAAGUAAGAGUUGUAUUAGAAACAAAGCAUCCAGCGGGAUGGAAGAAAUACAAAUAACUAAAAUCUCUCUGCGUCAUUAGUGAAUAUACAUGGGAAAAUUGCAAUCUAGGAGUGCAUGUGGAAUAGAAGAAAUUGGUGUUGCAAAUGUCACCUUGGAGAGAGUAAUCCAUUCUAUAGAAAAUAAAUAAUGAGGAAGUUGGAGAUCAUGAGUAGCAGGAUAACUGUUUGAAUCAAUUGUGAGUGCAAAUCUAGUUGGUAGGAGAAACAGACAAUAAAGUGGGAGCUUGAUACAAAAGGUGUCAAGUAUAAAGCAAAAUCCAUGAUGAAGAACAAUGUACAUUGUAAUUAAUAUGACUUCCAAGAAAAUAUCUCGAGGGCGUAGGACUUCAUACUUUGGAGGGUUUUCUUCUUUGGGCAUGAGAUUUCAUUUUUGGGUGUUGUACACUUCCCAAUAUGGUUAGUAAAUUGUUUCACUUAUCCCCCACAAAAAGGAAAGGGAAGAUAACAAAUAUUAGAGUGUAAUGUGCCCAAAGUCUCCUUGUAAAACCCUUUAACUCAUAAUACCAAAUAACAUUUAGAAAGACUCUUGAUUCACAACAUGAUUUGGAAACUUAUACAUCCUAAGUACAAUAUCCAUUCCUUUUUCGUUUGCAUCAAAGCAAUAUUCACUUUUACUAAAAGUAUUAGCACAUAUUUUGCAACUCAGGCAACAAUAAUAAAGGCAUACUUUUACUAAUUUUAUCAAAGGCUUUUUUUUUCUUAAUAUAUUGUUCGGAAACAGAAAUUUUAGCAUAUGACACUGUGUGCUCUGAAGGAUAUUAAAUCGUUUAAGUUUGUAACUUCGCCCUUAAUUAUCUAACAAAGUCCAACUAUGGUGUUCAAUUUGCAUUUGAGCGAGUACCUUGAACAAAAACUGCUCGUAACAAGAUCUAUUUCAAGCUUUUUUUUUUGGUUAAAUGGUGAGGAAAUUUGAAACUGUUUUUAUAUUUAGUUACUUGUUUAUGUAUUGUAAGCCACAUAUAUGUAAUAUUGUAAUUUUACAAUGUAGUAUUAAGAUGUUUUGGCAUCUGGCCUCCUUAGAUUAGAUAUUCCUUCCCUUAAUAGCUUUUAAAGACCAUAAUGGAUUAAGCUUUAACUCUAUAAUUUCUCCAUCAGGGUAUUAAUCAGUGCUUUGGGAAGCGAGAAGCGUGAUUAAAAGAAAAUAGAUAGUCAAUAAUACUCAUAAGUUAUGACAUAUAAAGCAAAAAAUCAAAAACAUAAUUACAUACUACAAGCAAAAAUAAGUGUCAAAAAAUAAAAUACAGAGCAGUAUGAUCACAGUCAGUGUACAGAAAUAAAAACAAAAAAGAGCAACAAAAGAAUUGAAAAAAACAGAGUAGGCAGUAAUAUUAACAAAAAGAAUAGGUCAGUAUUGAGAAAAAAAACAGUAGCAGAUUACAGAAGCUUCUAGAGAAGAGAAAAAGAAAAAACUAGCAGCAGCUUGGCAGCAACCAACCAAAAAUAGAAAAAAAAACGUAGAAGAGUUUGAAGAAGAGACGCAGUCGCACUUCUUGGUCGUGAAGAAGAGACGCAGUUGUGAAAGAUGAGUGUAGUCGUAUCUUUCCAAAAUUAAUAAAAAAACUUUUUUUCUUUUUUAUAAAAAGCGCACUUUAUUGCGUUUUUGCCUUUCUGGUGCUUCUCGCUUUUACAUUAGAAGCGGGCGCCUUUUCCGAAUCGCCUCACCUCAGGAACUAGAAGCAUAGGAGCAUUGCCUCACCACGAAGCGCGCUUUUCUGCGCUUUUUACAACACUGGUAUCAAUUAAGUGGAGUAGUUAUUUAAAAAAAGUUUAAUUAGUAUAGAGCUGUGCAUAUUUUCUUGGCCUAUUCCAUGGUGCAAUUUAUGAGUACGAAAGAAGUUGAAAGUUAGUUCAACCUUUAUUAGUUUGUGGAAUAACAUAACAAAUUUGGAGAAAAGAACCAUACAUCAAAAUUAGAUAAUAUUCAUAAGAAGUGAACUAAUUAGACUAUUAAGGCAGCACGUCAACAUGUUCAUAAACUGUAUUUACCAAAAAAAAUAGAAUAAUGUCAACUUGUUUAUAAACUGACUAUUUCGUUUUUGGAAUAAGGAUCAAGUUGACUACAUCUAUCCUCUAAAUGCUAUUAUUGAAGGAUAUUAACAGUCUAUUGUGUUUCCCCUAAAACUUUUAGAUGGAAAAUUCAUGUUGUGUGAUAUAGUUUAAUCCAAAUAUUUGAUUUUAACACAUUAAUGCUAUGAGAGUUGAAUUAUUUUUAAGGUUAAUUUAGUGGGAUAUUAUUUGGUUGUAAAAUAUUGUUCAGACACUGGCUGUCUUAUAACUUUCCCCAAUUCUUUUUUGGUUACCUCGAUGGCACAUUCUUAUCACAAAGUACCCUAGAGGCGUGCCUCUAUUUUAUCCACCCUGCACUGAUAUAGUGUGGGACAUCAUCAUCAAUAACCCCAUCUCCUUGGAUUAUGGACCCAAGGCAUUUGAAACUCUCUCUUAGGUAUAUUUGUGUAUCGAUCCUCACUUGUCUUUCCGCCUCAUGAGUCACUGAACUUGCAUUUUACGUACUUCUUUAGUUCUGCUUAUCCUAAAAUCAUUGGACACUAGCGUCUGUCUCUAAACUUUCAGCUUAUCGUUAACUACACCAUGCAUCUCAUCAAUCGUUAGUAUGUCAUCUGGGAAUUACUUACCACGACACCUCUCUUUGAAUAUGUCAUGUCAAUAAGUCGACCAUUAAGGCUUAAGGCAACACCUUUUGUGCAACUUCAUCACGAUAGGAUUGUGUUCUGCGUCACAUCCCAUUGUUCUAAUAUGAAUUUUAAUUCCAUCAUACAUGCCCUUAUUUGCCCUAAUAUAUGCCACUGGUAUACCUCUAGAUUUCAAACAUCAACAAAGGACCACCCUAGGGACUAUCAUCUGCUUUUUCUAGAUCAAUGAACACCAGGUGUAAGUAUCUCUUCUUGUCCCUAUACAACUCCAACAAUCUCCUUAUCGCCUGGCAUGAAUCCAAUUGGUUCUUGGAGACAGGCAUAUCCCUCCUCAUUCUCAACUCUAUCACCCUCUCCAAUGGCUUAAUAACUUGAUACCCUGUAGUGGUUGUAGUUCUGAAUUUCACCCUUGUUCUUAAACAAUGGAAUUAUUGUGCACGACCACCAUUCUUCUGGCUUUUGGUUUUCCCAAAUAAGGCUCUCUAGGGUAGAAGAUGCAGUAGAAGGGGAGCCACUGAGAAGUUUCAAUAGACUUAGGUACCUUUCUAAUUUCCAAUCAUUUAAGUUCCUUCUGAAGGUGAUAAGCCUGUUGUGAUCUUGCUUGAAAUUAGAACUCAGAAACGAGAGCAUCUUUUACGGGAGGUAAUGCUGAUAAGGCCUGGGUAGAUAUCUUUGAUAGGAGUGUUGUUGUACCAUCUAUCAUGCCAAAGUCUAGCCUUUCUGUUCCCCAUUUUUAUUGAGGAGUUCAACAUGAAGAAAUCUCACCAUGCCCGAAUGUGUUUCCAGAUGCGGUAAAGAGAACUACAUUCACAAUUGAACCUCCAUAUCCUGCCCCUCCGAGUUUCCCGCAUUUGAUAACCAAGUCCCAUUUGACCAAGUUAAAAGUUCUCUUUACGGUUGCCCUACCAGAGGAAGUUUUUACGAAGUUUGUCCAACUCUUUAGACACUUUGCAGGAAGGGAAUAAGCCAUAGUGUACGUGGUUUGAGAAUUUCACACACUAUUGAUAAGCACCACUCUUCCGCCCAAGGAGAUAUGAUCAUUUUCCAGUUUGACAACUUCUCAUAUUUCUCUGAGUGUUUCCCCAAAUGGAAAUAGAAUUUGAUUUAGCUCUGAGAAACUAAAAUUCAUCAUUUAUCUUUUAACUAAGUUAACAAAAUAUUGAUUUCAAUAAUUAUUACAAGUUAAAAUAAAUUUAUAAUUUUACACUUCUUAACUUUUUUGAUGACUACACUUCUUAAUCAAUAUAAUGUAAUUAAACUUUUUAUUGACAUCAUUACUUAAGACUACUUUAUGGUUGUAAGAAAUGUCGUAAAUUUAAGAAUUCAAAAGUCAACAAAUUUAAAUAUUGUACAGUUCUUUUUGAAUAUAUUGUUGCUUUAUUUUUAUUUUUUUAUUUUGCCUGCAAAUUCUAUUUAAUGUUCAAUAUUAAGUUAACGUCAUCUAAAUUGAGUUCUAAUUUAGACUAAUAAUGUAUAUAGAUCAAUCACACUUGAAUGAAAUUACCAAUUCAAACAAGUUUAUAUUUUCUUAAUCAACUAGUUUAGUUAUAAAUUAUUUUUUUUCUAAUGGUGAAGCAUACGCAAAACGAAAUAUCAAAGAGCUGACUCGGGAUCGAAUCGUUUCGAGCUCGAGAUUAUACUUUAGCUAAGCUAGGUUGACCGCUACUUGAAAUUUCUAAAAGGCUGGUUGAGCUCAAUUCAGUUGGUUCAUGUUUUUCAUUUUGAUACCUUAACUAAGGCAAUACCUAUUGAGCACCUUGCUCUAAUGUGGCUAGAGGUGGCAAACGGGUGUGUUGGGCUAAAUUUGGGCGGGUUAAAAUUAAAUUGGUCUGAGUACAUAAAUGAGCGAGUUAUUGACCUGCCCAAAAGCUGCUUGGGCUGAAAUGCGGGUUAUAACCCAACCCACCCAAUUCUUGUUAAGGUCUUAAUUGCUUUGUUUGUUCUUUUAUUAAUUUUUAGUACUUAGUACUUAUUUUUCUUUCUUAUGACUAUAAAUAGCAUAUCAAAUUAAAAAAAAUGCCUUUUCAAAAAUAUUUUGUCAAGACUCACGAGUCAAUUUGGGCUACAUAUCAACCCAAUUCUUAAUGGGCUGAAAUGGGUGGUUUUUGACUGAUGUGGCACAAGGUGCUGACUCUCACCCAAAGAUGAGCGCCUAAAUGCUUAACUAUAAUUUCUUUUCAUUUUUUUAAACUCCUUUCUCCUUAUGGAUCUGCUGCAACCACCACCUCCUCCACUAUUUUUUUCAGAUUCGAUCAUCCACGAUCUCCCCUCCUCUUUCUUCAUAGACAGUUGCCACCACCUUCUUCUUCCCCCCUUAAAAUCUGGUGACGGCAUGACCACUCUCUUCCUGUCCAUUUAGUCUGCCUCUGCACAAAUAUUUCGGUCAUUAAUGUGGACCACUAGAAUGAGGUCGCCAGAAAAAGUGGAUACACACUGAUGCCACCGGUAUAUUCAUGUCCGCAAUUCCUUCAGCAAAGAACAUGAAGAAGUAGUGGAAUGCAACAUCUUUGAAUUCCUUAACAAAUUAUGAAUCCAACUUAGAACAAUUUCCCAAAAUGAUAAGGAGAAGAGAUGUGAAUUGGAAGAAAACAGAAGACAAAUAAGGGGUGAACACAAAUUAGGAAGUCACAAUGAAAUUAAGGGGCUUUUAAUGUCUCUGGCUGAAAUGGUCACUGUUUCGGUAUCUUCAACUGAUUUCAGAAACUGGAGAAGUUGUUGAGAGAGCCUUGGAGGGAGAGCCUAGGAGUUUUUCGUUAAAGAAAGAGGAGACUAAACGAAAAAUUGCAGUGAGGUGCUUGUUGGAGAAGGUGAUUCUCCGGCAAGCAUUAGGGAAAUGUUAACCCACAGAAUUCUUCCCCAACAUCAGUCUGUGAGCUUUAGCUCUUUCUCGUUGAAGAAAGAUUAGAGGAAAAGAGAGUUCCAGUGAGGUGCUCAUUGUAGAAGGUGAUACUCCAACAAGUGUUAGGGAAAUGUGGACUUGCCCGAUUCUUCUGCAAUUCCUAAUAUGCCCACCCUCAAUAUGCAGCCACUUUAGUUCUAAAUUGUGGCAAAUAAUAUAAUCAAUUUCAUUGGGUUGAUGUUUGUCCUUUCGGCAUGAAGGAUUUGAUCGCAGGACGUCUACCAUGAAACACCCAAAGGAGAAGAGAGUGUGCUCACACACAUCUACUGGAUUGGGACUGCUGAUUUUGUGUUUAAUAGGCACAAUUUUUGUCAGGCUUGAGUGUUCAAUUGAAACUUUUCUUAGUGGAAGUUUCAAAAUGAUAAUUGGAGCCAACCUUAAGGGUUUAUUUAUGCAUUUGGUC